GUGCUUAACACAUGCAAGUCGAACGGAGUGCCUAUGAUAGAGGUUUCGGCCAAUUGAGUGGGUUACUUAGUGGCGGACUGGUGAGUAACGCGUGAAGAACCUGCCUUUCAGAGGGGGACAACAGUUGGAAACGACUGCUAAUACCGCAUGAAGCAUGAUAGGGGCAUCCCUGACAUGCCAAAGAUUUUAUCGCUGAAAGAUGGCUUCGCGUCCCAUUAGAUAGUUGGCGGGGUAACGGCCCACCAAGUCGACGAUGGGUAGCCGGACUGAGAGGUUGACCGGCCACAUUGGGACUGAGAUACGGCCCAGACUCCUACGGGAGGCAGCAGUGGGGAAUAUUGGGCAAUGGACGCAAGUCUGACCCAGCAACGCCGCGUGAAGGAAGAAGGCUUUCGGGUUGUAAACUUCUUUUAAGUGGGAAGAGGAGAAGACGGUACCUGACUAAGAAGCCCCGGCUAACUACGUGCCAGCAGCCGCGGUAAUACGUAGGGGGCAAGCGUUAUCCGGAUUUACUGGGCGUAAAGGGGGCGUAGACGGCUCUGUAAGUCUGGAGUGAAAACCCGGGGCUCAACCCCGGGACUGCUUUGGAAACUAUGGAGCUAGAGUGUCGGAGAGGUAAGUGGAAUUCCUAGUGUAGCGGUGAAAUGCGUAGAUAUUAGGAGGAACACCAGUGGCGAAGGCGGCUUACUGGACGAUGACUGACGUUGAGGCUCGAAAGCGUGGGGAGCAAACGGGAUUAGAUACCCUGGUAGUCCACGCAGUAAACGAUGAUGACUUGUUUGUCGGCGAUAGACCAGUCGGGCGACAAAGCGGAAGCCAUAAGUCAUCCCCCGGGGGAGUUCGAUCGCAAGGUUGAAACUCAAAGGAAUUGACGGGGGCCCGCGCAAGCGGAGGAGCAUGUGGUUUAAUUUGAUGAUACGCGAGGAACCUUACCCAGACUCAAAUGCAGAUGGAGCUCGGCAGAGAUGCCGAGGCCCUUCGGGGCCGUCUGCAAGGUGCUGCAUGGUUGUCGUCAGCUCGUGCCGUGAGGUGUCAGGUUAAGUCCUAUAACGAGCGCAACCCCUACGUCCAGUUGCCAGCGGGUAAAGCCGGGGACUCUGGAGGGACUGCCGGCGCAAGCCGAGAGGAAGGUGGGGAUGACGUCAAAUCAGCACGGCCCUUACGUCUGGGGCGACACACGUGCUACAAUGGCCGGUACAGAGGGCAGCGACACUGCGGGGUGGAGCGAAUCUCGAAAGCCGGUCUCAGUUCGGAUCGGAGUCUGCAACCCGACUCCGUGAAGUUGGAUUCGCUAGUAAUCGCGCAUCAGCCAUGGCGCGGUGAAUACGUUCCCGGGCCUUGCACACACCGCCCGUCA
rnacentral:rRNA from 1 species